GAAGAACCACCAGAUGGAAUUGUUCUCCACCUUCCUUUUCCAGCUGGAUGAUGACACGUGGCUGUAUGAACAGUUUGCUUUUGAAACGAACACAGGACAGAUUUAAUAAGAACAAAGCUUACAACAUUUCAAAGACGUCAUUUUCAACAUUUUAGGCGCCUUUUAUUCAGCCCUUGGAGAUACAGGAGCAUGGGAAACAAACCCAACCAACACGACCUGACAUCCUAGAAGCCAGACACAGCCAAGUCCUCUUCAAUCCGGAGACAGCCGACUGAGUGGUUGAACAUCUGUGCCCUGGUGCCAGGCUGACGGGGCUUUCAACCCCGUCAUGCCAAGCUGCUGAGCUGCUCCCCUGCCUCGACUUUUUCAUUUGGAAGGAGUCAUAAAGAACGGAAGACAACGCCACACUGGCUGAGGGCAGGAGGCAUCUGCUUUUCUCUUCCUGGGAUCCCACACUCAAGAAACGCCGAUCAGAACAACAACGCCAACCAACCAGAGCUCCCAGGGACUAAACCACUGCCGAAAGACUGUUCAUGGACUGACCCAGGGCUCCAGCUGCAUAUGUAGCAGAGAAUAACCUUGUUGGGGCACCAGUGGAAGGGAAAGCCCUUGGUCCUGCCAAGGUUGGACCCCUAGUGUAGGGGGAUAUGGGGGGCAAUAAGGGGGAUGUAUAAGGGGAUACCCGUAUAGGGGAGGGGGAGGGGAGGGAAUAGGGGCUUAUGGACAGGAAACAGGGAAGGGGAAUAACCUUUGAAAUGUUUGCCCUUUACUUUCUCCCAUAUAGAAAUAUUGUAACCCAUGUGAAGCACACUGAAAGGUAGGUAGGUGUGUGCGCGUGCGUGUGUAAACCUGACUUAAUAAACAAACUAUGACUCA